rnacentral:rRNA from 1 species
GACGAACGCUGGCGGCGUGCUUAACACAUGCAAGUCGAACGGAAAGGCCCUGCUUUUGUGGGGUGCUCGAGUGGCGAACGGGUGAGUAACACGUGAGUAACCUGCCCUUGACUUUGGGAUAACUUCAGGAAACUGGGGCUAAUACCGGAUAGGAGCUCCUGCUGCAUGGUGGGGGUUGGAAAGUUUCGGCGGUUGGGGAUGGACUCGCGGCUUAUCAGCUUGUUGGUGGGGUAGUGGCUUACCAAGGCUUUGACGGGUAGCCGGCCUGGGAGGGUGACCGGCCACAUGGGGACUGCGAUACGGCCCAGACUCCUACGGGAGGCAGCAGUGGGGAAUAUUGCACAAUGGGCGGGAGCCUGAUGCAGCAACGCCGCGUGCGGGAUGACGGCCUUCGGGUUGUAAACCGCUUUCGCCUGUGACGAAGCGUGAGUGACGGUAAUGGGUAAAGAAGCACCGGCUAACUACGUG